rnacentral:lncRNA from 1 species
CGGAAUCAACUUUUUCCAAACUCCUGAAGAGCUCAGGAAGAUGAAGUCCUUCCCUGGGGUCCCACAGCUGCCACCUUUAAGCCUGGGAGGUGUGCUGGUCUCCACCACCUAGUCAACUCAGGAAUGGGCUUGAAGAUUCAGACAAAGAAAGCAAGGCUUGAAAAGGCUGAAUGACCUCUCCCCAGGCAGACAGCAGACAGAAGAGGAUGGGCCAAGAUCGGAGCCUAAAGCCCAUUCAUUCUGUGGACUCCAGGAAGAGUGGUCCCUGUGUCCAGGCUGCCCAGGCUGCUGUGGGUGUCAUGUAAUCAGCCCCACAGCAGCAGCAGUCAUUGUCACAGGGACAGCCCUGCUCACACCUGCUGGGUGGUGGCCCAGCCGCUGUCCUGGAGCCUCUUAGGUUUCUCUCUAGCCUCUCUUGGAGCUCACACAUCCUCUAGGGAAGAGGUCCUGCACUAUCUCCCUGUGAUGGGGCCAGCUCUGGGUUCAUGGUGUGACCCUGCUUCCUGGAAAAGUCUGGGAUGACUGCACCAUCCAUGAUUGGUGACUUCCAGGAACUGAAGGUCGCCUUGGUCCCACCCUCCUAGAGUCCUGGGUCCCUGGGAUGCCCCUAAUGCAAUCCAGGCAGGCCUCACCCUCCACCUGCUCACCUGGCCCUUCCUUGGCCUGCAAUUUGACUGUCCCCACCCUCGGCCCCUCCCUGACCUGUCAAUAC